rnacentral:lncRNA from 1 species
UAAAUGAAAGAAGUUGAACUAUACUAAUAUGGCUGUCAACCUUAAAUUAGAGUAACUGUUGUGUAAUGAAAGAUUCUGCAAAUUGUCAUUCCAAGAAGAGUUAAGACGCAUGUGCUUGUUGAUUAUUUUAUUGAAAUACUAAAAAUGGUUCCCUAAAGGAUUAGCAUCUCUUUUCACGAAUACUUGUUCUUCAACAAUUCAUCCAAGGAGGAUCACUCGCAUAGCCACUAUUCCAUAAUAUUGAAAUUUACAGAGAGUAACACGUAAGUAAUGCACUUUUCUUCGUCCUAAAUAUAUGCAAAUAUCAGUAACCAAUUAGAAAAAAAAGAGGAAUGUUAAAACAUCCUUGCUUGAUGAGUACUGACCUUCAAAGCAAACAAUGUUCCAACCCAUUUAUGGCGAACAGUUGAACAACACCACCACUUCCCUUUCCGAUGACUUUGAUGGUUUCAAGGUCUUCAAUGAAAACUGAAGAUCUAUCUCCUUAGUUUCUGAGGCCUGUGAACAUUAUGCACAAGAAAUUAAAACAUUUUAUCAAAUCGUAGAAAUGUCCCAUAGUGAAUUUGGAUUUAACCUAAGGAUAUACCCGCUAACUAAUCAAAUAAUUAAUCCUUAGCUGAAUUCAACUUUGAAGAAACAAUACAGAUAAAAAUAUGUGCAAAUAUACAACAGUUAAAUUUUUGAAAUUUCCUAUUCAUAAUGUCAUAGCGACUAGAGAUACACAAAUAACUGAAAAUAAUCAGAGCAACUUAAAAUGGAAUAAUAAUCAAGAUGCCUCAGAUUGGAGUCUCAAUUGAAAAUAAUUGCAAUGUGAAAAUAUAAACUACAAUUAGAAGAUGGGGCAUUGAAAUAAAAGGUCUAUUUAGAAAGAAAAAAGGUUCAAAGUCUCCAGCACGUGGAGCAGAGUGUGAAUACAGUAUUCUUUAACUUGGACAGACUCCUUCUUGCUGCUCCUCAGACAUGCACCUGAAUCAUUUGAAGUUCUCUUGUUUGGGUGUUACUAAUUUAUUACUGCACAAAAUUGCUUGUGUUGAAUCAUCGAGUCUUUCCUUCAAUGAGAGGAGAAAUUUCCAUCAAAAAGCUUACAUCUCAAAAGCACGACAUAGAGAGAAUUGAAUGGGUUGUUACAAAUACACUUUACAUCUCAAAAGCACGACAAGAGGGGUUGCUCUGAUGGUAAGCAACCCCCACUUCCAACCGAGAGGUUGUGAGUUNN